rnacentral:rRNA from 1 species
GACGAACGCUGGCGGCGUGCUUAACACAUGCAAGUCGAACGUGAUUUUUGUGGAAAUUCUUUCGGGAAUGGAAAUGAAAUGAAAGUGGCGAACGGGUGAGUAACACGUGAGCAACCUACCUUACACAGGGGGAUAGCCGUUGGAAACGACGAUUAAUACCGCAUGAGACCACAGAAUCGCAUGAUAUAGGGGUCAAAGAUUUAUCGGUGUAAGAAGGGCUCGCGUCUGAUUAGCUAGUUGGAAGGGUAAAGGCCUACCAAGGCGACGAUCAGUAGCCGGUCGGAGAGGAUGAACGGCCACAUUGGAACUGAGACACGGUCCAAACCCCUAGGGGAGGCAGCAGUGGGGAAUAUUGCACAAUGGGGGGAACCCUGAUGCAGCGACGCCGGGUGAGCGAAGAAGGUUUUCGAAUCGUAAAGCUCUGUCCUAUGAGAAGAUAAUGGCGGUAUCAAAGGAGGAAGCCCCGGCUAAAUACGU